GCCUGGGUGGCUCAGUCAGUUGAGCAUCCGACUUGGGCUCAGAUCAUGAUCUCAUGGUUUGUGAGUUCAAGCCCCACGUCGGGCU
rnacentral:tRNA from 1 species